rnacentral:rRNA from 1 species
AUUGAACGCUGGCGGCAGGCCUAACACAUGCAAGUCGCACGCGGGGCGGACGGGUGAGUAAUGUCUGGGAAACUGCCCGAUGGAGGGGGAUAACUACUGGCAACAGUAGCUAAUACCGCAUACCAUCGGAUGUGCCCAGAUGGGCUUAGCUAGUAGGGGUGGUAACGGCUCACCUAGGCGACGAUCGCUAGAUGGUCUUAGAGGAUGACCAGCCACCAUGGAACUGAGACACGGGCCAGACUCCGACGGGAGGCAGCAGUGGGGAAUAUUGCACAAGUUGCUGUAGCCUGAUUCAGCCAUGCCGCGUGUAUGAAGAAGGCCUUCGGGUUGUAAAGUACUUUCAGCGAGGAGGCGUUACUCGCAGAAGAAGCACCGGCUAACUCCGUGCCAGCCGCCGCGGUAAUUC